rnacentral:rRNA from 1 species
GACGAACGCUGGCGGCGUGCUUAACACAUGCAAGUCGAACGGUAAGGCCCUUCGGGGUACACGAGUGGCGAACGGGUGAGUAACACGUGGGUGAUCUGCCCUGCACUUCGGGAUAAGCCUGGGAAACUGGGUCUAAUACCGGAUAGGACCACUGCCUGCAUGGGUGGUGGUGGAAAGCUUUUGCGGUGGGGGAUGGGGCGGCGGCCUAUCAGCUUGUUGGUGGGGUGGUGGCCUACCAAGGCGACGACGGGUAGCCGGCCUGAGAGGGUGACCGGCCACACUGGGACUGAGAUACGGCCCAGACUCCUACGGGAGGCAGCAGUGGGGAAUAUUGCGCAAUGGGCGCAAGCCUGAUGCAGCGACGCCGCGUGAGGGAUGACGGCCUUCGGGUUGUAAACCUCUUUCAGCACCGACGAAGCGCAAGUGACGGUAGGUGCAGAAGAAGGACCGGCCAACUACGUGCCAGCAGCCGCGGUAA